CCCUGCAGGAGUCCCAGCUCUCACUGGGUGGCCAGAGCUGUGCAGGAGAGCCAGAUGAGGAACUGGUUGGUGCCUUCCCUAUUUUUGUCCGGAAUGCCAUCCUAGGCCAGAAACAGCCCAAGAGGCCCAGGUCAGAGUCCUCUUGCAGCAAAGAUGUGGUAAGGACAGGCUUCGAUGGGCUCGGUGGCCGGACAAAAUUCAUCCAGCCUGUAUCCUUUUCCUGUGAUGUUGAGCUGAGCUGAACUGUGGAGCCCAUACUAUGCCUCACCUAUACCCCCAGCCUGCCAGUGCCAACAGCCUCAGGUGUGCAGUGCUGGGCCUCAUUCUGUGUAUCAGCGCCGCCCACCCCCGGCUCUGAGCCUUUCUUGCCCUGCAUUGCAGUCCUUUCUCGCCCUGCAUUGCAGUCCUUUCUCCAUGCCUCUUCCUUGACAGCUCCUCCAGACUGACACAGUCAUGAUCCGCCCAUUGCCUGUUAAGCCCAAGACCAAGGUUAAGCAGAGGGUGAGGGUGAAGACAGUGCCUUCUCUCUUCCAGGCCAAGCUGGACACCUUCCUGUGGUCGUGAGAACAGUGAGUCUGACCAAUGGCCAGACACAUGCCUGCAACUUGUAGGUCAAGGACUGUCCAGGCAGGGGUUUUGUGGACAGAGCCCCACUUUCGGGACCAGCCUGAGGUGUAAGGGCAGACAAACAGGUGAGGGUGAGUGUGGCACCCAGAGACUGCUCUUCCUGCCCUCACCCUGCCCCACUCCUACGACUGGGAGCUGACAUGACCAGCCCACUGAUCCUGUCAGCAGGUCCUGCUCCUGUUGCCAGGCUCCUGUUUAUAGCCAUGAUCAGAUGUGGUCAGACUCUUUCUGGGCCUGGAGACCACGGUCACUUGUUGACUGUCUCUGUGGACCAGAGUGCUUGAGGCAUCUCAGGCAGCCUCAGCCCAAGCUUCUACCUGCCUUUGACUUGCUUCUAGGCAUAGCCUGGGCCAAGCAGGGUGGGGAAUGGAGGAUAGCAUGGGAUGUAUGGAGAGGAUGGAAGAUUUUCAUGUAAAAUA
rnacentral:lncRNA from 10 species